UACGUAGGGUGCAAGCGUUAAUCGGAAUUACUGGGCGUAAAGCGUGCGCAGGCGGUGAUGCAAGACAGAUGUGAAAUCCCCGGGCUCAACCUGGGAACUGCAUUUGUGACUGCACAGCUAGAGUACGGUAGAGGGGGAUGGAAUUCCGCGUGUAGCAGUGAAAUGCGUAGAUAUGCGGAGGAACACCGGUGGCGAAGGCGGCUCACUGGCUCGUAACUGACGCUCAUGCACGACAGCGUGGGGAUCAAACAGG
rnacentral:rRNA from 1 species